ACGUAGAUUGCUAACCUAACUUGUUUAGCGGUUUUAGCGGUAUUUGAUUAGUUGAGUGAAUUUCCGAACAGUUUCAGACCGCUCGGUGCUUGGCUUCGAGCUUCUAGCUAGAGAUCGGACGACGACAAACCUUCGACGAAUUUUCCAUGUGCACGUCGCGUAGCGUAGCGUCGCGUCGCGUCGCGUCGCGUCGUCUGACUGACGCGUGUGUAGGUGUAUGUACACAGACCGAGUAUCAACACAGCGUUCUCUCGAAAUUCAAUGGAACUUGUAAACUGGUCGAAUUCCGAAAUCGAAAUUUAGUUGCUUACCUUGAGAGUAGUUCAUGUCCUUCUUUCAUGUACCUCGAUGAUUACUCCGGCUCGGAGUCACGAUCACACGAAUACACGUCACCACCUGAAAUCAAUUCAUUUACUUCAUUAGCAACACCUUCGAUCAUUUCUGCUUCACAAACGUGGCUACUUCGUAUCUAUAUCCUAUAUAAUCCAUUUCGAGUCGCAUCCAUACAGCACUCUCCCUUUUUCCUCUUAUUUUACUGCUUCCCAAACUUCCCCAUUAUAUCCUCGCUGCCUUAGAAGGGCAGACGUUAUCCGAUUAUUUGGUCCAUUUUCCUGCCAUGGCACAAAUGCAUUCUUCGAUUACCGCCUCACCCGAUUGUAUUUUCUUAAGUGGUAUUUGCUAAGACAACUUUGUCCACUUUCUUCUAAUUGUCCUUCUAUGUGUCAUUCUUCUUCGGACGAAGACAAAUGUCGCCAAACAGACGACGAUUAUCUUAGCAAUCUGAAUGAGUCAGUAAACAAUGGCUUUCGAUACCAAAUUUUUGAAGAAUUUUCCAAGUAUUACUCUUAUUGGAUAUUUAGAACAAAUAAAUAAAAUUCUAUUUUAUUUAAUUUAACUUUUUAAUUUUCUCCUUUAAAAUUAUAAAUCCCUUUUUAUUGGUUAACACUAUACAUCUAUACGGUUGUUAGAGGUAGCGUUCCAAUUCGUUUCAUAAGUUGCUAAUUAGCUCGCCAGAUGAACACGUAAUUUGCGGUGGUAUUAGCCUGGGUUAGCCAAUAAAUCCUUCUCGUAUAUUGCCACCACUAAGGAGAUUUAACGGGUCUGCGUAACCACCCUCGUGGAUACUUCGAUUUUCCAAUUGGUAUUGGUACUUCGUACAGAACAAUAUAGGCUAAGCAACAGCUGAUAAAUAAAAUCACAUCACGAAAUCACGAAAUUUGUUGCAAUUUAAUAAAUAUGAAUUUUUUUCAUAAUUAAAUCGAUUUCCAUAAGAUAUAUGUCGUUGAAAUUUAUUAAACAGUGUAAUUUAUUCACUAAUUGUACAUGUAAUAUGAGAUAGAAGGACAAUGGAAGGAUCCUCAACUUUAACGUCCAACAGUGUUGAUCGUUAGGUCGAUGUAGCAACAUUAGCCAAGUAUUAACCUGAAAUGAACGUAUAAUGGUGGUGUCGGGGAUUUGAUGUCAGCAUCAAGGAUCGGAUAUCGUAUGGCGUUUACCAGCAUGCAUGUUCCAAGUUAUAGGGCUAACUGGAACGACCUCGUACAAGAAAUAUCCUGGUAGGUACAGCCCGAGGCUGGAAUCGAUCAAUUUCCAUGAAGCAUCGAUAAAGGGAAACGGGUCCCAAGGGAAGCAGUAUAGGAUAAAAGGUUGAAGGUCGGUACGCGAGGUAUGUAAAAGCUUGAACGUUGGCGAGUCGAUGGACCCUGCUGGCCUCGCGAACCUGAAGAUGGCCGAGGAGAAAAAUUGAAUUAUCAUAAAGAAAUUGCGUCCGAAUAUUUCGUUCGGUUCUAUUGAAUGCCAACGAGUAGAUGAGAAGGCAUCGAUAGGUUUUUCCAAUAUCGGCCUCGAGGACAUGCAUCGGGAAUUUUAAGAAUCAAGAUCAUCUUUGGACUAUCGGACUACCGAGAUGAAAAUUAAAGAAUCGAUCUUACUUCAACCAGGUUGGGUUAGAAUUCUUUGUAGCAAUGCACUCGAUUGUUCACCACGAGUUUAUCUCCAGAAAUUUAAUGAACUUUCCAAUUACAUCCUACACCAUUUCGCCGGCCUCUAAACUUCUAUCCAUCCCCCGCUGGUUCGAGAUCAAACUUUCACAGAAAAUUACACGCCCAUCGCCGAUCGUUCGUCAAAGGGACGUACGUUUCCUUUCAUGGUCCCGUGUCUUCCGUAGCCGGUGAAACGCAAAGAGUGUCGAAAGUUUCGCGGGAAAGUUUCCCGUCCAAGUCCGAAAAUGCGUCGUAUCCGACGGCAAAAAGAGCAGCAAAGGAGGAAAAGUACAGCAGGACUUUCUCAUGAGCGAAAGAAACGAGGGAGAGUUUAAAGGCCGUCUCGUGAACCGAUGAUGGUUCUUCGCCCUUUUCGGAAGGAGCUGACGUAAGCGGUGGGUUCUUGACGACAGAAAUUAAAAGCGCUCCGUUGAUCCCAUUAAUCUUGAGAUGAUAAAACGAUUAGCGAUCCUAAUGGAAAGAGAUAUUGAGGAAGCGGAGAGGAGCGGCUCCGUUCGAGAGCCGAACGGAUGAAAAAUUCUUAAGAAGCAGCUCGAAGGAUCGUGGAAUACCUGCGAAAUAAUACUAUUCCAUCGUAAAUUAAAAUGGAAGAGAGAGAAAAAAGAUGAAGCUCUGUCUGGUACAACUGUAACGAAAGGCACACCUGAUUAAGAAUGCACCCCUCCAAAGAUAUCCAUGACCCCAUGGUUGGGGUUGGUGACAUUAAUAGCGACUACCGUCCAAGAUCCGACCACCUCAAGGCAUCUUAUAUUUAAUUCAACGUGACCACUAAUUCACUCGGACGCAUAUUCAAUCAUUUUGAGUGGAACGAUGUGGGUAACCGGAGAACUGAAGUUACUUCUGUAGAACCAGUUAGAGCGAUGGAACUGCGUUGUGGAAGUACAUUGUUUAUUCAUUUGUAGCUACGUAUUCUUGUGCAAAGCUAUUGCGGGAUAAUUUAACGUUGUGAUUUUAAAGGGAAUGCGUCUUAAAAACAGUCAGAAUUGUAAUAAAAUUUUCUAGAUUAAAAUCCACCCACUAUGUUACCAUUUUUUCACAAACCAAAUAAGUUAAUAAAACC